GUGCCAGCCGCCGCGGUAAUACGGAGGGUGCAAGUGUUGUCCGGAAUCACUGGGUGUAAAGGGUGUGCAGGCGGGGCAGCAAGUCGGAGGUGAAAGUCCAUGGCUUAACCAUGGAAGUGCCUUCGAAAAUGUUGCUCUUGAGUCCCGGAGAGGCUGUCGGAAUUCGUGGUGUAGCGGUGAAAUGCGUAGAUAUCACGAGGAACACCAGAGGCGAAAGCGGGCAACUGGACGGGUACUGACGCUCAGGCACGAAAGCGCGGGGAUCAAACAGGAUUAGAUACCCCUGUAGUCC
rnacentral:rRNA from 1 species